GUACCACAAUUUAGACCAGUUUUCUUGGGAAAAGGGCUUUCGUGGCUUCACAGGCUUUGGCUGUGAUACUCUCUUCCUAUGCAGCCUCCCCAGGUGACCCUGCCCUGAUGACCCCAUCAAAUGUGCGGGACAGCGUAAGUCUGGGCUCACAGGUUACUCGCCUCAGCUGAGACCCUUGCUGAAGAGGGCAGAAUAGUAGCCGUGACCACACCUGACCACGCUGUCCACCUUACUGGCCCCGUCAGAGUUUCCAGUCAGGUGAGGUGGAUGGAAGAAAAGUCCUGAGCCAGAAAUGGAACAUUCUAGAACAUUCUGGAGCCAGCUCCCACAGAGCCGGUGGAAGAGCUGUUGGCUGGAAGUCAGUCUGGCCGUGGAAUGAAGAGGCCACCCAGGCCCUGCACACAGGUGCACAGACAGCCUCCCACUUUGGGGUGGGAGGGCGGUGCCUUCCAGAGACCCUGUUCCACUGUGGGUGGUCCUCAGAGCCCCCGGGCCCCAUGCCAGUGGGUCCCUAUCCCUCUCCUGGGACACAGCAGCAGGCUGUGGUUCCUCCCUUGUCCCCAGCAGAGGCCCUCCGUCUUUGUGUUCACCAUCCUCCAGCCGUGCCUGGGAGCAUCUUAGCCUGGCCAAGGGCUACACCCAGGGCAGAGAGUGUGGGCCCAGAGUGUCCCAGCCCCUGACCCUGUGCCUUCAGAGGUCACAGAGCCCCAGUCCACUGAACACAUGACCACGCCCAGACACACAGCCUCCACCUCUGUGAGGACAGUGUCUGCAGAUGUCCGUGCCAACCUUGAACUGGGUGGAACAGGCGUCUGGAAAGGAGAGAGGAGGCCCCCAAGGAGGGCUGUGCCCAGGAACCACAGUCUGUUCCUCAGGACCCCUCCUGGCCACCAGAGGGUGUGUCUCUGUUCCAGGUGGCGUGCAGUUGGUCCAGCCUCACCGCCCGUACGUGGAAAGGCCUGGGGCGGCGUGGCCCUCAGAAACAGGUGCGUCCAGAGCAGUGGCCAAGAGCCGCCCGGGGUCCACGUCCCCGCCCUCGCCACUGCCUCGGCCCCCCCUGCACACCACGAAGGACCCGCCCCACCUCUGACUCUGGGUGACAACAAGGGCUGAGACAGAGAAGGGAGGAGAGUUCCGGUUCCUCCCUACCACUCUGACUCCAGAGUGCUCACACGUUUGAUGUUCUACGUACGCCAAGGGGUCCCCCACCCCGGGGGUUGGAAAGUCAGUUCUCUCUUACCUGUAACCCCGGAAGAGAAGCAAAGCCACCUGCUGGCCUCCAGGGUGCACGUGCAAGUGUGUGUGGUCGUUGUCUGGAGGGCCGACUGUGUCCUCCAGCCGUGGACUCAGAGUCACCCGGCUCCAGACAGACGCACAUCUGGGCCUCCACGGGACCUCCACCAGAGGCACAUCGAGCGGCAGGGAGGGCUUUUGCUUUGAGCACACAGCUCCGCUCCCCUGCGGCCGAGGCACCCGACUCCUCCCGCUCCAUCUCCGGACCAGGAUGCUCCCUGCAGAGCCGAGAACCCGCAUUUACCUAAAGCUGCCUUCUCUUCGACGUGACGCAUCUGAACGUUACACCACCAAGAGGGAUGUAGCUGUCGGUACCUCUCCACUCAAACAUCGGACUUCUGCACCAGGAGGCAGCGUGACAGGUACUCUGUAGUUUCCAGCGAAUUGGUCUCAGGUGUAGAUGAGCAGGAUUUCGCGGGAAGGGGUGGAACCUUGUGGUGGGCUCGGCCCGAACCUGCCGGGGCAUCGCAGGUGCCUUUGUGGCCGACUGUGGGUCCCACCUGCCCCUUCCCUAUCCCACCGGCACCCCAGUGCAGGAGGGUCUCUCCAAGCCUGCCCUCCCAGCAAGGGGCCUCGGGCUACACUCGGCCGACAUCCAUAACGCUGCCUCUGAACUUGAGCCGCUGUGGCAUCCUCCUGCUGCGAGAAUAGCACCAUGUUUGAACUCUCUCCCAGAAGCUCCUCAAGCCAGGAAUCUCGUUCCCAUUGUGCUGGGGAAAGAUGACGAUGAUGCUCAGACAUGACGUAUGCAUAAAUGGUAGAUCUUGUUUAAAAAAAAAAAAAACCGUCUGCGGAGCAAGGCACUACAGUGAUCACUCAGCAUGAGUAGUUGAAACUUCUUUUCUGUGUUUCUCUGUGUAUUCUAAAUUUUUGCAACGGAAAUGUGUUAAUGGCUCUGAUUAUAAGAACAGUGUAUUUACUGGGUUAAGAAGGGCCCCCCGACAGAUGUCUUAAGACCGUACUGGUUGCUGCAGUCUAAUCUCAAGACGACAUGCCUGUCACACUUCUGCUCUGUCCCUGCAGGGCCGGUGGAUGAGAAUGCCCCAGACGAGGUCAUGGGGGGGGGGGGGGCAGGGGGGGGGAGCAGCCAGCCUCCACAUAGAUGGGCCAUGUGACACCAAUAUGAGAAGGACCCAGCUCAGGGCAUGCUUUCUCAGAAAAUCAAAAGGGGCUUCCUGGAGGAGGCAGGGCAUGCACUGUACCUGUUAUUGCUGGACAGGACAUGGAAGGCCUUUCAAGUAGAAGGAGCUCCAGGCACCUUAGAGCAGAGGAAACCAGGGGCCCAGAGGGCAGUGGUGAUGGUCGGGCAAGGGGGAGGGCUGACACUCUUGCCACUGGGAGUGCGGUGACAUGUGUGGAGUCAGCUCUGGGUGAAGUUCCAGAUGGCAAUCAGGAGAGCAGUGCAUGGCAGGCCUCACAGGCAUCAGGGGACACCACGGCCCCGGCAGCCCUGACUUUGUCUGGCGGGAGCCCCCUAGGUCUGCAAAGACCUGCCUCCUCUUACAGCCUUUCCUCACUUACUGCCCGGGGAUGGUGGACUUUCCUGAAUCCCUCCUUUGUCACUGAAGUUCGCCCAGCGCCCCAUGCAGGGAACGGCCACAAGACCCGAGUUCCUGCCAGGGGAGAUAGGCUGUGAGGAGUGCAGGCCCCAAGGAGAUCACAGGGACCUCACCUAGCACCCCGCUGUCCUCGAGGCCAGGACUGCAUCACCGGCACCCUGGGGACCCAUGAGAACGGAGGCGCCUUGCCCGGCGGAGAAGCCUGCUCGUCUCUGCAUCCCGUGUUUUACAUAAUUAGGUAAGUCGCUUAACGUCGCUGUGUCUUCUUAGAGAAGCUACUAAUCCUUAGAGCUAACAGGACUCACUAAUUAGUGUAGAACACUUAGAAAAUAUAAGGAAUUCAGAUGUGGAGUAUAAUUGGCCGGUCCUCCUGGUAUUGACACUCAGGCCACAGCCCUGACAGCGCCGCGGGCCUGGCUUUGUCAAGACGGCGUGGGGUUUGAGGCCCAGACCUAAGCGAGAGGGGCCAUCCCGAGCCCCAGGGCCGCCCACAGCGUGUCCCGCGCUGCUUUGCAGGUGGAAGCAGGCGUGGGGUCAAGAGUGGGUGAACUGGUCGGAGUCGGUUUGCCUUGCUAGCACACGACGUGGAGUUGGUGUGAGCAGCAGCUCGGGGAACCAGAGAGAGUGGGCCGGAGGGGCCUGGGGCUGGGCUGCAGAUCACGAGUGGCUGAGUGCCACAGGCUGUCCCACGCAGACCUGUGUGAUCCUCCUGCCAUCUUGUCCCUGGAACGGAGCUCCAGCCGUGGCCUCAAAGUUUGCACCGAGGGCAGAGCUGGCACUCGGCCCUUUCUCCUGUGUCCCUCUUUAGGGGACAAAUGCCACACUUCCUUCUCAGGUGGCAAGUUGCUCAGAAAGUAGAUCCAAGCCCCAGACCUGGGCAGCACCUACCGUGAGUCCCAGGGACACCCGCGGCCACGUGUGGGUGUGGAUUCUCCACUGGCGUUGGAAAUGAGAUGGCGAUUGCGUGUCCCUCUGGCGCGUCAUUUCCUCAGGACGUAUGGAGCCGUCAGCAAACCAUUAAUCUCUCUUUGAACCACGGUGACAAUGUUUACAUUUAAGAUCAAGAUGACGGUUAUUGGAACAACUCCCCCAGAAGCUCUUCUCGCAGCUGGAAAAACACGGCAGCGGGUGAACAGAGAGAGCCGUUGCCGGGGCAGAAGUGACCACGAGGCGGUCCGGGAGACCCACACUUACAGAGGGCGCUGCCCGGGGAGGCAGGCGUCUGACGGAAGCUUGUCCGCAGGUUGGAGCCGGCUUCGAGAACGGUGAAGCCUGAGCCAUGCGGUUCGUGGCUGCGCAUUCUGGCCACGCUUGCGGGAACCUGCUUUCGACAAACCAACUACAAGGAGAAGUUUCUGAAAAGAAGCGUUUCUAGAAUUUGUGCCCGAACAACACAGAAAAGAACCAGGGACUUGCGGAGGUGAAAAGCCAGCUUUCUGAGCAUUCUGGGAACCUUCUGGCAAGUCCUUCAUUUUAAGAGAGACCUCUGGGUGCCCUCCAACACCCUGUGGGGCCUUCCCCUGGGCGUCGUCCAUCUUGGCACUUUGCACACUGAGCGCUGAGACCCAGCGCCUUGUAAAGUCUGGUCAAAUGGCGGUCCCUGUGUUGGCACGACAGAGCCUUCUUUGUCACAGGCCUUUUCAGAGAGCACUUUAGUAAAUACGGGACGUUACCAACAAAACGCUGACAUUUUCAUCCUUCAUCAGAACUGGGGGCUGCGAUCCUUACAACACGCCGUGAUAGGUUGCAUUUCCCCCCACAAGAAGGAUUAGCCUUUUGCUCCCAAACAAGCCAGCUAUGAAGAUGUGAAGCCCAAGGCCACCACCUCAACAUAAGUCCUGAUCCCACUGGGCAGCGAAGCUCUCCUACUUCUCAUUCUAGAAGCAACUCUUGAACACCCACAAAUGGCCGUGCACGCUAAGAGCUGACUAUGGUUAACGUUCCAGGAACCUGAAGAAGAGCCCCUGUAAGACCUGGAAAAGGGCAGUUAGUCUGUGCUGUGUGUGCAGUGACUUUGCACGGUCGUGUGGGGUUACCCUCUGGUGUCCUAGCCCAGCCAUUUCUCCCCCAGGCACACUCCCCAGGGAGUCUGGUGUGUGCCCAGAAGCCAGGCCUGGGUGCAAGAGUGAAAACGGUGGUCAGUCCAGACACCCGUCCAGAGAAGGACAGUUUCCCCACAUGGAUCAGACCUUGUCAAACAGGCAGCUCGGGGCUGCCUGAUGGCCCCGGAGAGAAAGCCCAGAGCCCUCUGAUGCCUCACAUGGAGAGUAUCAUCCUAAGCAAAGACGUGGAAGCCGUGAGGGAAAGGCUGACGCACAGAUCACCAGGGGCAGGGGCCGGCGGGUACGGGGACAGAAGCCCAAAGCAAAGCUGUCGACCUGGAGAAGAUCAUUGCAAGGUAUAGACCGAGAAAGAGGUAAGAGCCACAAAAUACAACGAGCAGCUACAAAUUAAGAAGAAACAGACGACGCAGUAGAAAAAUGGGGAGAUGACCACAGGUGCUUCACAGAAAACAAAUGGUCCAUGAAUAUGUGAAAUACACUAAACCUCACUGGGA